GUGAACCCUAAUCAUGCUCCCACAAAAUCAACCCUAAUCUUCUUUAUUUCCUCCCCCGUUCUGGCACCGUCGCCGCCACCGCCACCGAGCAUAACCGCCUAAUUGGAUGCCCCCAUUCUCUCCGUCUGUCGUGCAAUCUCCGUGCUCGAAAGCAUCGCCGCCGCCGUCGUCACAAGCAGCGCCGCCUUCCUCACGGUAUCCUUCCCUCUCACAGUCUCAUGAAAUUGCGUUGCAGAAUCCCUUAUCCACUCUGCAAUAACCACCAAGUGUGAUGAACAUGAAUCAAAUUGCUUUUUUUAGUUGUUCAUCAUCUUCAUCAUUCUCAACAAAGCUUCCUCUUCAUUCCUCAACACCUCUAAAAAGAUCAAGAAGAAGAAGCAACCACGAUUUUCUAAGAAUGGUGACUCGUUCCUGUCUCGAUGACAGUUCCGCAAUUCUCCGAGCAGCUCAAUACACUGUAGACACAUAUGUGAAAAGUGGAAUGGUUGUAGGAUUGGGGUCUGGUCAUGCUUCUGGUAUGGCAAUCCAGCAUUUGGGUCGCCAGCUUCGUACCGGUAAUUUGAAGGACAUAGUAGGGAUUCCCAUAUUGAUUUUGCCUUUGAUGAUGCUGAUGCUAUAGAAGAAGGGACACUUGUUGCUAUCAUUGGGCGGCGUCGUCACAAGCAGCGCCGCCUUCCUCACGGACUUGCAAGUUGUCCACCAGCAAGUACGAGAUUCUGGAUAUGGAGAUUUAUUGCCGAUGAAUCUUUAGCUAUUGUUGCUUCAACUCAGGCAAUCACUCUAUCAACCUGUAUAGUUGCUCACAACAAUGCAUUGUUCGCUUUGCUGGUGUCAAAUAAUAUUGCUCAGAUAAAAAGCAAUGUGUAUAAGCGAUACAGCAGGGACAAUGUAUACAGUUUGGUUUACUUUGAAAAAUGUCAAAACCAAGCACCCUCUGUAGGUGUAUAUCAUUGACUUUGGUAUUGCUAAGAAAUACAGGGACAUUUCUACACAUCAGCAUAUUCCUUACAGAGAGAAUAAGAAUUUGACAAGAACGGCUAGGUAUGCUACAAUGGUCAAGUUGGUUCAUUGGAUGCUGCAAUCAACACCUUCGAGCAGGCCAAGUUGGUAUGGUAUUCGAAAUGUAUAAAAACUCUGCUAGCCUCUUCUAGCAGUUAGAAACCUCCAUUGAAUUAACUUUGGAAGAAAGUGAUAUGGAGAAAAGAGAAAACGGGGAGCUCUUUGAAAUGAAAGUGGCAAUGAAAUUGGAAAGAAGCAUAUCACAGCUGAAGGAAUCACGGUUGAUGAAUUUUCCAGCAAGUUAUGAGAGGCUAACAUCACUAAUUUAUUCUUCUAGUAGUUUAACCUUUUUAAAAGUCAUGUAUAUGCAAGUUAUGAGCUAUGUUUGAGCUUGAAGUUGAGCUCUAUAUUUUGUAUUAUAUACACAUCUAUACAUAUAUAAUUAUUUUAAUAUAAGAAAAGCUCGAACCAACUUUUGAGCUUUUAGUAAGUCAAAGUUAAAUUUGGUUUGAUGUGAUCAAAAUCUAGAAUACAAGCAAAUACAAUAUAUGAGGAAUUACUUA